rnacentral:lncRNA from 1 species
GAAAGAGUCAUUUCCCACAAAAUAUGGAAUCCAAUAAGGUUUAUUACGUACCAUUUAGUGAAUUGCAGAAGCUUAUGGAGUGUAUGAAUAAGUUUCCAAUCACCUUUUCAUUUGUCUCCUAGAAGAUGCACAGCACGCAGUACACCCAGCUCUUCCUCCUCCCCCAUAGGUCAAACACAGCAUCGGAUUUGUUUAUGCACCGUUUAACUUUGUCUUAUAUCUCCUAUGACAUUAUAACUUGGUCUUUUAUCUUUCCAGCACCAUUCAAAGGAUGAAUUCAAAACAUGGCUUGACCCUGUGAUGCACUUGGCAGCUGAGCCUCCCUGCAUGGUCCCAGGCUCCAGAGGCACUCAAGGAGGGCAGCAAGGGAUGCAGGGGGGAAACGGAUGCAGAAUGAAAACCAGAAGGAUUUCCAAGAGGAAUAGAAAUGACUGAGGCUAUGGAUGAAGGCAUAACUAGAUGUUAAUGAGAGAAAGUCUGACCUACAGGUCCUGUUCAGGAAUAUGCUUGAAGAAGAUCCAGCAAACAAUGCUGGAGAAGAGCAGAGCAGCAGUAAUGUGGGCGAACACAGAAAGUGACCACCUCCACCAUGUCCUUCUGUGUCUUGUUGGGCACUCAGCGCCAUGAUGAAGUAGUCAUCACUUGCUCGUUGGUAUCUGUGGGAGGUUCAUCCGUUAGGCACGGGGUGGGAAGCUGAGAAACACUCAGAGAUGGGUUCAGCGCUUUGAAACAGUACAAGGAAAUUCUCUGGAGCAAUAUUUCUAUAUUCAAUUUCUUAUUGAAUUUCUUG